rnacentral:rRNA from 1 species
UGGUGGAGUGAUUUGUCUGGUUAAUUCCGUUAACGAACGAGACCUCGGCCUACUAAAUAGUGCGUGGUAUGGCAACAUAGUACGUUUUUAACUUCUUAGAGGGACAUGUCCGGUUUACGGGCAGGAAGUUCGAGGCAAUAACA